rnacentral:rRNA from 1 species
CAAUAGCGUAUAUUAAAGUUGUUGCAGUUAAAAAGCUCGUAGUUGGAUUUCUGGUUGGAGCGACCGGUCGGGCAUUGAUUUGUCUGCACUGGAGUCGGUUCUGGCCAUCCUCUUGGAAAGUGCGUCUGUCAUUAAGUUGUCGGGCGUAUGAUCCAGGUCUUUUACUGUGAAAAAAUUAGAGUGUUUAAAGCAGGCCUUCGCCUUGAAUACAUUAGCAUGGAAUAAUAAGAUAGGACUUUGGUCUAUUUUGUUGGUUUGCAGACCGAAGUAAUGAUUAAUAGGGAUAGUUGGGGGUAUUUAUAUUCCAAUGUCAGAGGUGAAAUUCUUAGAUUUUCGGAAGAUAAACUUAUGCGAAAGCAUUUACCAAGGAUGUUUNCAUUA